CUGUUGACACCUCCUCCUCAAAUCCUCCACACGAGGCGAGCUAGUGGUUGCCCCGCAGGUGCUCGGCGGCGAGCGAUGGCUUGGGCGAGCGCGAGCUACUAGGCGCCCCCAGUCGGCAUGCUGCGCAUGGGCUCCACUGUAGGUGCAGGGGCGCAAACCCGCGGCGGCGUGGCCGUGCGGCCCGAGCGGCUGAGGGGCAGGGCCUGGGGCAUCGAGCGCCUCUGCUCCCUUGCCUGCGCGGGCUCGCAGCUGUCGCCGGUGCCCUGCAGCUGUGUGGCCAUGCGGCUGUGGCCGGCGGGGCCCUGAAGUGCAGGCUGCCAGCUGCACAGCAGAGCCGGGAUCUCUUUGAAGAAAUUCAGAAAAGAUGGAUAUGCUGCAACUCUCUAGGUUUAUUCAGAUCUGCACGUUUUGGGUGAGGAAAACCUUGAACCUAGUUGAUUUUUGUUGUUCAAUUGAAUUAGCAAGAUAAAAACCUUGAACCUGGAGAUCGACGGCUUUGAGGUAUGUGCUAUGCACUAUCUGCUAUUGAGGUAAUCAAGGAAUCUAAUAAGGAUGAUGAUAUAUCUGGUUUGCUUAAAGAUUUAGCCGCUGGUUUAGAUGAUAGAGGAAAUUUUGAUGACAACAGUUCUAUUCUAGAACCUUGCGCUGAGCUACUUGCCUUUCAAAAGUUGGUGGCAGAGAAUAGCAAAGAGUUGUACCCUAAUUGCAAGAAAUAUACACAGUUGCGUUUCCUAGUUAGAUUAUUGCACCUCAAACUCCUUGGAGGAUGGACUGAUAGAUCUUUUAACAUGCUGCUAGAUCUACUUAAUGAUGCACUCCUUGAGGGUUCAACACUCCUUAGAAAUUUUCAUGAAGCUAAGAAAUUGGUGAAAUCCAUUGGAUUUGGCUACAUUAGUUCUUAUGGUUAUGUAGAGACCAUGGCCAUGCACAUAAGUUGUCAAUUGCAUGGCCAUACAAGAGAGUAAUAUACUUUGCUACAUUUUCUCAUGUGUGAUGAGAGUGACGGCAGCCACUAAUUAUUUAUAUUUCUGACAGUUGAAGGUUACCAAAGGAUCACAAUCCUCCCAAGGUGCAUCAGGUGGGAGGUCUCAGAGGUGGCAUGAUGGUUGAUCAACAAGCGGAUCAGUGCUUAUGGAGACUUCUAUUUUGGGCUGUGCUCAUGGACACUUUUAUUUUGAGCAGUGCUUAUUUGGAAUAUCUAGCCUGGCUCCCCUUAUUUUGUAAAUGUGGCUACUGCUUGUACCGUGGCUGGUGACAAACCCAACAUAUGAUCUAGCUAGCUUGACUUAGCACUGUGACAACAAAUGAUGUCUAUGAUGAAGCUUUGCUAUUCAACCAAUUAUAUAUGUAUUGGGUUCAUAUGAAAACUAUUUUAGCCAAUUCUAUGUUUGAUAUCUGUUGGCUUCAAAUAAAAAAUAUGAUUUAUAUAUCUUUA